AGCUUGACACUGAACACUGGUCCUUGAUGUGUAGGAUAGGUGGGAGGCUUUGAAGUGUGGACGCCAGUCUGCAUGGAGCCAUCCUUGAAAUACCACCCUUUAAUGGCUGGUGUUCUAACGUGGGCCCCUGAUCGGGGUUGCGGACAGUGUCUGGUGGGUAGUUUGACUGGGGCGGUCUCCUCCUAAAGAGUAACGGAGGAGCACGAAGGUCAGCUAAUCCUGGUCGGACAUCAGGAGGUUAGUGCAAUGGCAUAAGCUGGC
rnacentral:rRNA from 1 species